UACGAAGGGGGCUAGCGUUGCUCGGAAUCACUGGGCGUAAAGCGCACGUAGGCGGCUUUCUAAGUCAGGGGUGAAAUCCUGGAGCUCAACUCCAGAACUGCCCUUGAUACUGAGAAUCUUGAGUCCGGGAGAGGUGAGUGGAACUGCGAGUGUAGAGGUGAAAUUCGUAGAUAUUCGCAAGAACACCAGUGGCGAAGGCGGCUCACUGGCCCGGUACUGACGCUGAGGUGCGAAAGCGUGGGGAGCAAACAGG
rnacentral:rRNA from 1 species